rnacentral:rRNA from 1 species
UACGUAGGCAGCGAGCGUUGUUCGGAAUUACUGGGCGUAAAGAGUGUGUAGGCGGUGCUCUAAGUUCGGUGUGAAAUCUCCUGCUUAACUGGGAGGGUGCGCCGAAAACUGGAGUGCUCGAGCGUGGGAGAGGAAAGCGGAAUUCCUGGUGUAGCGGUGAAAUGACGUAGAUAUCAGGAGGAACACCUGCGGUGUAGACGGCUU